ACGGGUGCAGCAGGCGCGAAAACUUUACAAUGCAGGAAACUGUGAUAAGGGAACCCCGAGUGCCCGUAUACGCGGGCUGUCCAGGUGUUUAAAACGCACCUGAAGAAAGGGCCGGGCAAGACCGGUGCCAGCCGCCGCGGUAAUACCGGCGGCUCGAGUGGUGGCCACUUUUAUUGGGCUUAAAGCGUCCGUAGCUGGACUCUUAAGUCUCUUGGGAAAUCUCCUGGCUUAACCAGGAGGCGUCUAAGAGAUACUGGGAGUCUAGGGACCGGGAGGGGUGAGGGGUACUCCGGGGGUAGGG
rnacentral:rRNA from 1 species